UUAAAAAAAAAUCUAACAAAAGACAUUUUCCCUUUACACUUAACACCAAUUAGUUCUAACUUCUCACGUUCUUACUCUGCCAGUCACGAUUUCCCCACACCACCGGCGGUCACGAUAUAGAUCCUUCUCAUAGGGGUUUCUUGAUGUUUUCCUUUUUCACUCUCGCAAAUCUCUAUCAAAUCCCUAAUAUUUGUUCGCAAAUCCUGUAAUCACAGAUCUGGACGGUUCUUAGGGUUUUCUCUAGCCAAUUUCACGAAUUGGGGGUUAGGUUAGACGUUCAUGACUGAGGUGACUCUGCUGCUGUUUAAUCUAUUAGGAGUGAUUUCACAAACUUUAGCAGGUUUGCUUCUCUUCUUGGUGAAUUUCAUUAAGCUUUCUUCUUCAGGUUAUAACCUUAGCACCACAUUUAAAUGUUGUUUUUACUGCUUGUGUGACUGUAUUUGUCAAACCAGCCCCACCAACUAAAUGUUGCUGAGUUCGUAUCUAACUGAGAGCGAAUGGUUUGUUGCUUGGAGAUGAACUUGUCACUGACCGUGAAAUUAACACCAACAAAAGAUGGAACAUUGAAUGUGAUGGACCAAUGGAAAGGUAAUGUCUCAACCCAUAUAGGUUAAGUUGUUCCAGAUUUCCCAAAAUCAUGGAUUAUGUGCAUAUUCUUAAUUUAUAGAGUUUCCUUUCUUAUAAGCUAUUAGCCAUAAUACUUUUUAUGCUUUCGAACUGCUAUAUUAUGCUCAAGUUAUAUUAUACAUACAUAGUGAUACUUGAUCCAAUGCAAAUUUUUGCUGCAAGUGCUUUUCCUUGUCCAUAUCUUCACAAUCCUUCAGAUAACUGUUUCAGGAUCAUAAACAGAUUUGAAAUGCUAAGAAAACUUUGAAAUUUGGCUAAUGUUUAUUUGGUAGAUUAUCUUUCUAAUUAAGAAACUGCAGUGGAAAACUUGAAAAUAUUUGAGGAUUAUCAUUAAGCUUUAGGUGCUUCCUAUAUAUGUUUGUAGCAAUCAGUUUCUUCUUUCCCCUUUUAAUUCUUUGCCAGAUUGAUGUAAAAUAUACAUAAAGGUAGAGCUUAUAAAGACACUUCACAGGGAUCAAUCUAGAGAAGUCAGAGACUAUGUAUGUCAUGAGCAAGAGACUUUAUAUGUUGGAUUAAGCUUCUACUAGCUAGGUUCAAGACCAAACGAAUUAUCCAAGUCCACACAUUGAUGAAGAUGGAAGAGAUGAAGACUAGAAGCUAAUUAUAUCCCAACGAAUUAGCUUAGUUACUUUCCGUCAUGUUUUUCUAUAUUAUUAUGUAGUGUCGUAGUGACGCACUUGAUACUUUGUAAGAAUCACAAAUUUUUAUGUUAAUGUUAUAAAUUUGGUGUUGAUCAAAA